UAAGAACUGUUCAGAUGGUGGUGCACUGAAUGUCGGGCGAAAAGCGGGUGCAUCUGAUCUCAUUGUACUAGUCGUAGGUGCGUCUAAUCUCAUGGUGUUCUGUGCUACGACAUCUGAAUCAUGGGAGAUUGACCUGCUUGCUGUAGGGACAUCGUCCUCUGCAUUUUGCAUGCAGUUUCCAAGUCCCAUGCCAUCCAUGUCUCUCUGUAUAUGUUCUUUCACCUUAUUGUGUGUAGGAGCU
rnacentral:lncRNA from 1 species